UAUGGCGCAUGCGUCAACUAUAAUGCCUAAACUUUCUACGCGGUUAUAAUCGUGAAAAAAAAACAAUUAUAAAUCCUGAAGGAUCAAUUAAUUGGUAUACAGUUUAAUUAAAAAAAUUAAAAACAAAAUAAAUAAAAUAAUGUGCAUUCGCGUAAAGUUAGACCAAAUACAUUUUUUCCAUCCUCCUAUAUACCUAUCGCUAUGAAGGUAUAAAAAAGAUAGGUUAAGAGUUCACAUAGCUGGAAAACUACAUGGAGAAUUAUAUGCAAUACAAGAUAAUGGGCUCCAUCAAAUGAAUUCAAAUGAAACCAAACUGUUUACCAUCCAAAUUCGAUUGUCGGGCAGAUAGAAAACGAAAAUUCACUCAUAGUGAACCUCGGCCUGCAUUUGUGAAACGGCAAAGACUCACUAUUAUCAAGGAAAUUGAAGAGACAACUAAAAAUGAGAUGUGUCGUAUUAUUAUACCUUUGCCAUCUCGUAGUCAAGAUGUCCAGCCACUUGAAAAUAGGUGUAGUAAUGACAAAGCUAUCCAAGUAGCUCCAGCACAGGAACACAAAGGCAAGGCAAGUGUGUAUUGCCACAUCACCCCUUAAUAUAUCUGAAGCAAGUAUAAGUAAACAAUCAGAACCAGCAAAAAAAAAACUGUUGUUCCUGAGGACAAAUUUGACAGUGAUGAGUCAAAUGCACCAGCAACAGAAGGAUCAACUGUUGACUAUGAGCUAUCUCUCUAUAUCUCCACUCCAUCAAAGACUUGUGCACUUCAGACUAUAGCUCUCAAGAAGACUAAAAAGUUGAAAAAAUUAAUGUGUAAUGAAUUUAUCUAAAGUGAAAAAUAAACAACGUUUAUAUAUUGGUCUUCCACAAGAAUUAUGUUUCAUAAUAGGCUUGAUUGAGAAACAUACAAAUGUUUCUGAACAAAAUAUUAUAUUAUGUCUGAUGAGUAUAACAUUAAAUAGAACAUUCUCUCAAUUGGCUGAUGAUUUCGAUUUAUCUGUAAGUCAAGCAAGCAAUAUAUUUUUCAACAAACUCCCAGAAAUUGCAAAUGUAAUAUCACCCCUUGUUAGACUAUAAAAAAAACAAUACAAUAAAUAUAUAAUAUGCAGGAAGGAUAAUUGAUGUCAACUUGGUGGAAAAUAGAAAGUUUUUAGAUAGUUUGCCACCUACAAAACUCUUUAAUUAAAUAAGUAAUCCUUACUUAUAAAUAGGAAGUUUUGUUAGUAUUUUCACUCUUCAUUCAAAAACUACUGAACAGAUUUUAAUAAGACUUUUAUGCUGGUCUUCUAUGGCUAGCAACUCAUUAUUAUUUUGAUUCUGUUUUCCACAAAUGUGCUAAAUAUGGGCUUAUAUAUAUGAAAAGGAAUAAAUAUUAAUGUUAUGUAACCUUUGUACCUGUAUGUUAAGAAUAAUUUUUAAUAAAACAUAAUUUAAAUUGAAA